ensembl:lincRNA
AUGCAAGAUCAGUCCCCUUCCAGUGAGCUUUCGUGUUCAACUAUUGCUGCACAAAGAACACCUGCCGCUCCCCUGACGACAGCUAGCCCCAGCAAUGCUGUCGAGAUGGUCUCCAACAAAUCAUCAACCGGAAAUCAAUUGAGCAGCACACCAGCAGAUUCACGGCUGCUUCUGUCACCAGGAAAAGCAGUGACGCCCACCAAUCAACUAAUGCUGGCAAACAGCAGUGCUGUGCUGGGUAAGAAUGCGGGGAUAUUAACUACCAAGGAGAGUCCAACUCUCAUUACCAAUCCAUCCAUCUUGCAAGCACUGGCAAGCAGUAGUGGCUUGUUCGGUGGAAACAUGCUGAUUGGGGGGACAGCAGGCAGCCACCCAAGUGGGCUGCUCUCUGCCCCAUUUUUCCUUGGCUCUUCAGUCCUUCCCACAAUUAACACGGGCCCCGCCUCAAUGGCGGCCUCUCCUGCCAUCACCGGUGCACCCUCGCCACUUGGCGUGACAACCGCCAUUGCUGUAACGAUGGCAGAAGCGUCCACCAAGGCUCAGUGACCCCACUGUAUGGUGGAAACACUGACCACCCAAUUGCCAUGGAAACAAUUGUCUGCUCGGAACAGAUUUAAAAGCAAAAACGACAAAGAAAAACUGGCUGUGGGACACUUGUUUUGGAAUUGUCUCCCAGCAGCCAUCUGGACACUAAUUUUGUUAACCUAAUAAAUUGAAUGAUGUUUUUGUUUUGUUUUUAUAGAGAUCGAGGCUCAUGGAAGAGUUAACAGAAAGAAGGGUGAUGUGUUGGAGGAGAGACAGGUUGCAAAAGUGUAGCUGUACGUGGAUGAAGAGUCUUUGCUCCAGAGAUUGCCUCGACAAGAUGGUGUCUUUUCUUGAUUAUUUGCAUUUCAAUAUUUCAAGUCAGGAUUGUGCUGAUAAGGGAGCGUCAUUGGAUUUUUCAUGUGAUCCAACAGCAUUAAAUUGGCACAUCUUGGAGAUUAGGUUAAGGAAUGUUUGUCCCAUUUAUGUUCUUUACCUCUUUGGAAAAAUGGGGGGCAAAAUUUGUCGUGAAGAAGCAGAUGCAGAAGGUUGUGUUUUUGUUCGGAAAGGGUUGGCAUGUGCUGUGAUGGACAGUUGUAGAUCAGGUUGUUUUGGCCCAAAAGGACUUAAAAUCUUGCUGCCUACUUGGAGAAGUCCUGUGUAGGUUGGGUGGUGGACCGAGCUUGAAUAUCACGUUUGUGGAGGUGAUGCAGCAUUGUUUAGUUUGAAUGCCAAAAAAAAAAUGGAGGGAAAGAGACUGGAGGCACGAAAUGGCUGAAAAAUACCUCAGUGACUCGAACACCAAAAAAGUAGAAAGGCCACCUUGGAAAUUGUAAAAUAGCGAGGUAGAUGGACAUCGCUUGUCCUUGAACAUUGAGCAUCCAGAGAAAUAUUCGGUUUGAAGCCAAAGAGUCCAACCUGGACAGUGACGGAAACGUGUACCAAUAGGUUGGGGCUGCACUGCAACAGAUACCUUUCGACACUUGCUAUGGGAUUUUCAGCCUGGGCCUAAUAUGAGGAAUAACCAGACUGGCAAUGUGUAGUCAAGAAGUGGUCUUGGUUGGACAAUCUUGGAGACAGAUGGAGUGGGACAGUGGUUGUUCAGCACGUUGUGUCCAAAGAUUAGAAACCGUUUUCUUUUACUUGUCCUGCUUUGCUUACUCUCUUGACUGUGGUCUCCUCGAGCAGAUGGAGUAUGUAGCAUGCCCGGAGGGAUUCGCCGUGCAUCGACCUUUGUGCCUGACCUCGAUGAACGGCCAUUUCCCUUCUGGUCUAACCUUAUCCUUAUUGUUAUUGAAGCGUAUGUCUCUGCCUCUUCUUUGGACCUUCCUCUUCCCUGCAGCCAUUUUUUGCUGCCUUCGCCCCUUUUACUUGCCUCGAACCAAAGAUUUUAUCACUCCCAUGUCCCAUAAUCACAUAACGAGUGGUUUUGUUGUCGGAUCAUGCUUGUUUAUUCACCGGACUGUUCCCGAUUAACUCAUCAAUUCCUAAUUUUAAUUGAGGGUUGAAGUAAAGUCUCGGUGGAGAUCAUUUUUUUUUGGUUUUUAAGCACAAAUCAGUGAAAUGUUUAUUUUAAAGCACCUCGUUAACUCGAGUCUCACAGCGGCUCUUCUCUCUUUAUUUUAUUAUUAUUGUGUACAUAAUAUCUCACUCUCUAUUGGAGUACAAACCUGGGUGGUUCCUCCCCCCCCCCCUUAAAUGAGGGAUCUCUCAUCUUACCUUCAACGUAACACUUUCGUUUGGUUGUGAUCAUUUUCUCUUUUUAAUUUGUUCUUCCAACAAGUGAUCGAUCAAUCUUUCCUUAAUUUCAAACUAAUUGUUCGUGUGAAAGCUUUCUUUUGCUCAUCCCUUUUUUGCUGCCUUUUCUACCUUCACUUUAUCCUCCUUAUUUACAUCGCUUUCUCUGCACUGUCCAAUACCGGCGUUCAAACUUUCACAAAUGCUUGUGACCAUUAUUACCCACUGCCCCCCUUUUGGGUAGUCUGUUUUGGUACUGACUUGUAGAGGGGCGAGUUUUAUUAUGUAUUUAUUGUUUUUCCCCCUCAACACUCAGAAUAGUCGUUUAAGACAGGUUGUCUGUUGAUGUGAACUUUCGGAGUCUCGCGUCAUCAUAUUCUCAGUCCUCUUUCAUUUCCUUUAUUAUUAUUAUUAUUAUUUUUCAUCUGGCUGUGAAGGGGGUGGGGGGGGGGCAGAGAACGAUUAAAAGGACUUCCACCUGGAAAUAUUAACAGCGGCUUGCGAGUUUGAAUAGUGUUGCUACCCCAAAUUGGUAACCCUCCUUGUCAGGAGUGUUUGGCGAUCA